UACGUAGGGGGCAAGCGUUGUCCGGAAUCAUUGGGCGUAAAGAGCGUGUAGGCGGUUCGGUAAGUCGGCUGUGAAAGUCCAGGGCUCAACCCUGGGAUGCCGGUCGAUACUGCCGGACUAGAGUUCGGAAGAGGCGAGUGGAAUUCCCGGUGUAGCGGUGAAAUGCGCAGAUAUCGGGAGGAACACCUAUGGCGAAGGCAGCUCGCUGGGACGUUACUGACGCUGAGACGCGAAAGCGUGGGGAGCAAGCAGG
rnacentral:rRNA from 1 species